CGUGAUUAAUACACUAUACAUUGACUGGGUUAUUCCAAUUGGUAAUUUUUAUAUAGAAUCCCCCUGGUUCAGUAUUAUACAGUUCAGUUUGUCUUUAGUAAGUUCCUACGGGAAGAAAGUUGUCAUACAAUAAAAGCACAAGGAGAAUGGCCACCGCUAUAUCAACCGUUACCAACAAUACCUACAUGUAUAAUAUACAUGGUGAUUGUCAAGCUGUACAGAUUGGAACAUCAAACACAAUAAGUGAAAGUAGUAACCCGACUGAAAUGAACGAACUCACUUACGAGUUCGAAGACAUCAGGUUCCAAAUGAACCGGGUAACUGAAGAGAUGGAUGAAAAAUUCGAAAGAAAAGAUGAAGAAAUAGCUGAAUUAAAAGACAGGGUGGCUGACCUGGAAGCAUUUAAGAAGAAAGUAGAACAAUCAGAAGUUACAACAAACACCAGCACUAAUACUAGGAAUUAUAAGAUAAAUACGAGUGAUGAUAUUACUCUACUGGUGUUUUACACAUAUGGAUGUAAAGAUAUGGGUACUAUAACUGUCAGUAAGAAAGUUAGUGUUAAUGAUUUAAAGAAGUUGAUAAAAAAGAAGAAGAAUGUGAAGAAGAUUAGAAGGAUUGGCAUAGUGAGAUAUAGAGAUGGGAGUGGGGCACGCAUCUACAACAGUGGUAACAGCAAGAAGACUGACUAUAGCCUGGAACAACUUGGUGUUGUAGACCAGGACAUGGUGGCUUACUGUUGAUGGUAUAAUAUAGUGAUUAUUUUGAUAUGAUGUUUUAAUGGGUUCCACACCUUUCCUUUUGUUUUGUGUGGUAGUGUAUAUUUGUAUUUAUUGUAUCUUGAGUAUUUGUUGUAUUAUUGCCCCUUUAAUAUAUUGGUUAUUUAUGGUAUAUUUGGUGUUUGUUGCAUUGUCCCUUUAAUAAUACAUAUCUAAGCUGGUCAACAAUGUCUUUACAAUAGCAAGUCUAAACUCUACUAGCUUUUAAUUAAUAACCACAUCUCAGCUUCUCUUUCAAUUUGUACUUGCAUCUUAACCUUGUUACAAGGAGGAUCACAUUCUGUCACUUGGUAAGUUUUAUAUUUAUUUGACUGACUUUACUAUUUUAUCUAUUUAAUAUGGAAAUGUAAUUAGAAUAUAUUUUAUAUAUGAAAUAAUUAAGUUAUUAGUAUAUUUCUAUAAGUAUUUCUAGAAUUAUAUUUGUGCAUUUCUAGAAUAUUAUACUUAGUUUAAUCCAUCAUAGUGUUAAUUUCAGUCUUGUAUUACCGUGUUUUUAUAGUAGCCAUAUUAAAAUAAUCAGCCCUUUUAUAAACUCUAUUUUAUAGGGUAUGUAUAUGUAUUUGUAUGUAAUUAUAUUAGUGAAGAACUCAUUGUAAAUAUAAGGGGGGGGGGGGUAGCACGCGCGUGCUGUAUCAUACGGCCUGUCAUUGAGUCAACUGGCGUGGUUUCGAAUCCCCGGUUGUACGUGAGAAGGAGUAGGGUGGCCUGUCCAAUCUCGUGGGUUUUCUCCGGGUCCUCUGGUUUUCUCCCACUGCUAAAGACCCCUACGCGCAAGCGAAUUAUUGAAAUAAAAUUAAACCAUGUUAGUCCCGAAAUGACCUAUGUUUGUAUCGAGUGGACGUUAAACCCCAUUUCUCUCUCUCUCAUUGUAAAUAUCUUAUUCAUUCCUUUGUUUCCGAUUAAUGAACUUCCCGCCAGAACUUGAAAUAAAUGUAUAUAAUGUAAAUGAUUAUUUUUGAUAUUUAUACAUUCCUUUAUGUUUUUCAGCGGUUUCUUUUAUCUGUAUUAUAUACUUAUUGACAAUUCCACAAUAAAAUAGUGA